AUUGAACGCUGGCGGCAGGCCUAACACAUGCAAGUCGAACGGUAACAGGAAGCAGCUUGCUGCUUUGCUGACGAGUGGCGGACGGGUGAGUAUGUCUGGGAAACUGCCCGAUGGAGGGGGAUAACUACUGGAAACGGUAGCUAAUACCGCAUAACGUCGCAAGACCAAAGAGGGGGACCUUAGGGCCUCUUGCCAUCGGAUGUGCCCAGAUGGGAUUAGCUAGUAGGUGGGGUAACGGCUCACCUAGGCGACGAUCCCUAGCUGGUCUGAGAGGAUGACCAGCCACACUGGAACUGAGACACGGUCCAGACUCCUACGGGAGGCAGCAGUGGGGAAUAUUGCACAAUGGGCGCAAGCCUGAUGCAGCCAUGCCGCGUGUAUGAAGAAGGCCUUCGGGUUGUAAAGUACUUUCAGCGGGGAGGAAGGGAGUAAAGUUAAUACCUUUGCUCAUUGACGUUACCCGCAGAAGAAGCACCGGCUAACUCCGUG
rnacentral:rRNA from 1 species